rfam:Otolemur garnettii contig002375, whole genome shotgun sequence.
CUAUUGCCACGCGCUCUCAGCUGGCAUGUGUGGCACAACCCUCCCCCCACCUCCCCUCUGGGCCUUCUCGAGUGUGGGAGCCUCGGGAACACUAGCAAGUCCCUCCAG